rnacentral:lncRNA from 1 species
CUCUCCCAGGUAGGGGAACUGUCCAUUCUCGGCGCCCCCCUUCAGUUCAAAACCCAGCUGACCCUCUGGGUUCCUGCCAAUGACACUCUCAUGGACUUUGCUAGUCCAGUGGCUUUUCUUUUUCAAGCUUUUGGACAUGGCAGUGGGUGAAAACCAGACUUCUCUACUUAAUUACUGAUUCCAAAGAUUAAAUUGUUAAAGGUAACAGCUUACCAUUACUUAUUUAUUUGCUUUUCUAGAAAAAUUAAGUAUAAUCUGAUAGUUUAAAGUUUGUUUUGUAUAGUAUAAGGAGACAAAGAUUCUCAUUUUAAUAAACACUUGCUAACUAUUGCA